UACGGAGGGUGCGAGCGUUGUCCGGAAUCAUUGGGCGUAAAGGGCGCGUAGGUGGCGGGACAAGCGUGCGGUGAAAGCCUGGGGCUCAACCCCGGGUCGGCCGUGCGAACUGUUUUGCUUGAGCACUGUAGAGGCAGGCGGAAUUCCGGGUGUAGCGGUGAAAUGCGUAGAUAUCCGGAGGAACACCGAUGGCGAAGGCAACCGCCUGGGCCUGUACUGACGCUGAGACACGAAAGCGUGGGGAGCAACAGG
rnacentral:rRNA from 1 species